CUUUCACUCACUCACGUCCUAAUUGUGCAGCAUAUCUCGGACACACUAGCAUUUCUUGCCUCCAAACACGCUCUUAAAUAAUAAUAAUAAUAAUAAGAAGAAGAAAUAAUGAUAAGAAAAAACAACAAGAAUAAAUACGAAUUCUGCUCAUUUUAAUCUUAUUUUGCUAAUGCUUGCAGAGAACCCAAAAUACCCGCAGUUUUUAAACUUAUUUCUCACCCAGAAAUCUUACAAUGUUUAUGCCAAUCAACAUUUACAUGUAAUGCUUUCGCCAGCAGAUGGCAGUAUGAACUUUUUGGUCACAAUAAAAGAGGGGGGAUCUUUGCUCUUUGUUGUUUAUAGUCCUGUGUACGUGCUGUGUUCUGUUUAUUCAUCUAGAUAGAGCAUGUCCUAUAGUCUAAAUAUUUUUAUAUUAUUCCCUGUAUAGCUGUUGAGUAUGUUCUUACUUUGUCUUAUUUGUACUUUAUUUUUGAAAUUUAUAUUAGUUGUUUCAGUUCUAUUUUUCUUUUAAUUUCAUAUUGUGCGUUACGUGCAAAAAAACAUCACGUUUAUAUACACAGGAAGAACAAUUACAUUACAUGUCAUUUAGCAGAUGCUUUUAUUCAAAGCGACUUACAAGGGAAUCUUGGUUGUCAUGCAGGGAAUGAAAGGGAAGUUUCCUCAGCAUCCUCCUCUCUGGUUGUUAUGACAACAGUUUUUUUUUUUACAGCUAAACUUAAGUCCAAAUUGCACCAUAACCACACUGGGCGGUUUCUAUUGGCAGCUCUAUACGGUUCCAGGUCAGAGCCUUGCUGCUGAUAAUGGAUGCUGGUGUCUUUAUAGUGUGUUUGUGUCCAAUCCAGCUUCAUUUCCUCCUCAGGAUGUGCCUGCCAACUUUGUCUUAUCCCUCUCAGCAUCAGACAGGGUUGGCUCAAACCCCGCCCUGGACCCACGUGUGGACGAAGAAGUGGAAGAAAAUGUUUGAGUGGAUGCCAGAUGUAACCAUAGCAACACUGUUGUAGUAAAACUAAACCACACU